rnacentral:snRNA from 1 species
GGAUAUGAGGGCAAUCUGGCUGUGACAUCUGUCACCCCAUUGAUCGCCAGAGUUGAUGUGACUGAUCUGGCUGGCGAGGCGGGUGUCCCCUUCCUCCCUCACCGCUCCACAUGCGUCCCUCCUGAAGCCGUGCGCUCGGUUGAAGAGGAUGACCAUCCCUAAUAGAGGAGGACCGGUCUUUGGUCAAGGGUAUAUGAGUAGCUGCGCUCCCCUGCUAGAAUCUCCAAACAAGCUUGCAAGAAAAUGAGAUGAUAAGCCACAGGAUGGGAGAAAAUAUUUGGGCAAAAAAAAACAAAAACAAAAACAAAAACCCAACACAUAUGGUAAAGGACCGUU